rnacentral:SRP_RNA from 1 species
GCUGGGAGUGGUGGCCUGCACCUGUAGUCCCAGCUUCUCAAGAGGCUGAGGCAGGAGGAUCACUUAAGCCCAGGAGUUCAAGAUUGCAGUGAGCUGUGCUUGUACCACUGCAUUCUACCCUGGGCAUCAGAGUGAGACCCUGUCUUUA